rnacentral:rRNA from 1 species
AGCAGCCGCGGUAAUUCCAGCUCCAAUAGCGUAUAUUAAAGUUGUUGCAGUUAAAAAGCUCGUAGUUGAAUUUCGGGGUUAGUAGGUUGGUCAUGCCUCUGGUAUGUACUGGUCUCUCUGAUUCCUCCUUCCUGAUGAGCCGUAAUGCCAUUAAUUUGGUGUUGCGAGGAAUUUGGACUGUUACUUUGAAAAAUUAGAGUGUUUAAAUCAGGCUUUCGCUUGAAUACAUUAGCAUGGAAUAAUGAAAUAGGACGUUUGAUUCUAUUUUGUUGGUUUCUAGGAUCGACAUAAUGAUUAAUAGGGAUAGUUGGGGGCAUUAGUAUUCAAUUGUCAGAGGUGAAAUUCUUGGAUUUAUUGAAGACUAACUACUGCGAAAGCAUUUGCCAAGGAUGUUUUCAUUAAUCAAGAACGAAAGUUAGGGGAUCGAAGACGAUCAGAUACCGUCGUAGU